UCUUAAUUAAAAAACUGUUUUUUAAAAGCAAGUUGGGAGUGUUUGGCGUUGUUUUUAUAAAACAAUUUUUAAAAACGAAGUUACAAAAAACAGAAAAUUUUGAGAACAACAAAAAAUUGUUUUCUGUUGUUCUAAAAAAAAAUUUAUCUAUCUUUUUUUUUCUCUCAUAAGUUUUUUAAUUAUUAUCUAAGAUCUUUUAUUGUCACAUCAUUUUCUCUCUUACUAGUUUCUCUCUUUUCACUUUCCCUCUCAUCACUUUCUAUCUCUUUAUUUUCUUUCUCCUUACAUUUUCUUUCUUCACUUUCUCUCUCUCGUUCUUUUCUCUCUUCUCACUUUCUCUCUUUUCAUUUUCUCUUUCAUCAUUUUCUAUCUCCUUAUUUUCUCUUGCAUCACUUAUUAUGUCAUCAUUUUCUCUUUCAUCACUUACUAUAUCCUCACUUUCUCUCUCAUCACUUAAUAUAUCAUCAUUUUCUCUCUCAUUAUUUCAUCUCUCAUCAUUUUUUCUCUACUCACUUUUAUCUCUUCACUUUCUUUCUCAUUAUAUUCUCUAUCAUUUUUUCUUUGAUCAAUUUCUCUCAAUUUUUAUUUUUUCAAAUUUUCUCUCCUUACUUUCUCACUCCUUAUUUUUCAUUAUUUUUUCUUUCAAAUUAUUUUAUCUUAUUAUUUAUUAUAAACUUUUAAAAUAAAAUUCUCUUUGUUAAUUUUUAUUUAAAAUUUAAAAAAAAUAAAACUAAAAAAUUAUUUUUAGAAAACAUUUACCAAACACUAUAAAAAAAAAAACUUUUUUAUGUUCUCAUUAACAAAACUUUGAAAACAAAAAAAUAGAAAAAAUGACAAACAGACCCUUAGGGUAUGAUUGGUAUAGAAUUUGGAUACAACUUUAUGAUUUAGAAAACUGAAAAUUUGUGGGCCCAUGAAAAUAAUUGAUUGUUAGCUAGUUUUUGAAAAUCAGAUCCAAAUCUAAAUUUGGACUUUAUGUUGUAAAAUAGAAAACGAAUAAAUCUCGUUUUGUUCGUUUUGUGAAAUUUCUUCCUAAAACCCCUAAAAACAAAAUCCAUCUCUUCUCCCCUCCAUCAUUUGCGAAAGACAGAGCUUCUUCAUCUCUCUCCCAUCAAUGGUGAUUCGCUGCCCUUACUAACAGCACCUGAUCCACUCCAACUCCACAUCUACCAUCAGCCACAUAAAAUGUCGAGUCAUGUGAUUGGAACCCAAAUAUUGACGUGGGAUUUAUAUUUCCAUCCUUUCUUCUCCAACACUGAAUUGACGAUUUUGGCGGUGAAGGGAGCGGCGAUGGUGGCUCUGUACCGUUACCAUAUUGGGGACUAAGCGCGGUAGGGAGAGCUUUACUCUAGAGUUUAUUCUUUUUCUGCUUGAUCUAUUAUCCAGCAAACAAAAUUAAAAAAAGAAAAUAAUGUUCUUUUUGGUUUAGAAUUGAUGAAGAAAAAAAAAAGAAAAUUUGUAAUUCUCUGAAUAUUUUUAAUUGUUCUGUUAUUCGUUAAUUGAAUUUUUUUUAUUGUUGAGAUUUUAUAAUGAUAAAGUUUGACUUUUUAUUUA